AAUUUUCAGUAUGUUUUGAUAAAGCUCUGUUGUUUUGUCAUGAAUUAAGCAAUUAUAUUGGAUUUUCCAAGACCUUUACCAGUAAAUUAUGUUUCUGUAUGUAAAAUAACUAACCCCUUAUUAGAGAGACAGUGUUAUAUGUAUUUACUUACAAAAUUAUGAGUUCCAUUAGGAUUAUAUUGAUUUUUGUAUUUUCCUAAAAUAGUACUUUGAAUUGAUAGUCCCUUAUGCAAUGUCUUAGCAAUAGUCACUAUAAUGCCCAUCCAGGAGAAGUGGGUAGUAAUUCUUCAUCAUGAAAAUUAUAUAUUACAUAUUUAGUAUGUCCCCUUUGCAGUAUUGCACUUUUGUUUAACUAGAACACACCUAUGAGAUAGCCAAAGUUUUUCAAACACAGUUAACUUAGUUUGCCGGUGGAGUAUUUCAACAUGAUCCAUAUUUCCCUUCUCUCCUUCUAGUUCUACCCACAUGGUCUUUAUUCCUUUCUUUCCCCAAUUUAAACAAAAGGGAAAAAAAGCCCUAGAUCUUAUCACUGAAAUCUAAUUUAUAUCCAAUUUAUGAGAUAAGUAUUUUCCUAAUUACAGUCAAAUGAAUUUGGUUAACAUCUUAGUGAUUCUCUUUCUAUGUAAUAAGGCAAUUGCAGUUUUCAAAGCAUUAAGGCUAAUAUUAACUUUAAACAUUCUCUUGGGUUUCAAGACACUUCUAUUUAAUAUUGAUUUGGGAAAAGUUGUCUGGCUAUCACCUUUUUAAAAAACAACAUGCAAAUAUGGUUGUGUAAAGUUAAGGAUUAUAAGGAAAAAAAUCAGUAGAAUUACAUAAUACUAAAGUUGCAGUUGAAAGGAUAUCCAAGUAUGUGUUGGUAGUUACUAAAAGAAUUAUAGCUGUUAUUGCCUUGUAUUGAUAGCCCUUGUUUCAGGUUUCAUGAUUCAAGUCUUAGUCCAAUUUUUCUUUUGGACAUUUGCAAUAUUUACCAGUUGUGUUUUGUGUAGUCUGAAUUUGCUUUCUGUAGUUGAGCAAACGUCUUAAAAAGUCAUUUGUAAUUUAUUAAAUUACUUUCUAUGAUGUUCUAUAGAGCAAAUGGAAGUUUAAUUAUUUUUUAUUAAACAUAUUCUUUGACUACC
rnacentral:lncRNA from 1 species